rnacentral:rRNA from 1 species
AAGUCGAACGAAUCAUCAGGAGUAAGCUACUGAAGAUUAGCGGCGGACGGGUGAGUAACACGUGGGCAACCUGCCUGUAAGACUGGGAUAACUUCGGGAAACCGAGGCUAAUACCGGAUAAUCCUUUUCCUCACAUGAGGGAAAGCUGAAAGACGGCGCAAGCUGUCACUUACAGAUGGGCCCGCGGCGCAUUAGCUAGUUGGUGAGGUAACGGCUCACCAAGGCGACGAUGCGUAGCCGACCUGAGAGGGUGAUCGGCCACACUGGGACUGAGACACGGCCCAGACUCCUACGGGAGGCAGCAGUAGGGAAUUUUCCACAAUGGGCGAAAGCCUGAUGGAGCAACGCCGCGUGCAGGACGAAUGCCUUAGGGUUGUAAACUGCUUUUUAUCUGUGACGAAUAUGACGGUAGCAGAGAAAUAAGGAUCGGCUAAUCCGUGCAGCAGC